AUGAAGAGCUCUGACUUACAAGUCCUCCUUCCCUGGGAAGCCGGCCUGGCAGAUGGGAAUCCACUCCUGAAAGUAGUCAUUUUCUCAUGCCUCUUGACUUUUGGACUUGGGAAUUUAGAGCAACCUGCAAUAUCGAUUUCCAGAACAAAAGAUGAGAGUGUCCAAAUAUCCUGUAAGGCUUCCAUCAACAGCUUUAAAAGUGUAGCCAUACACUGGUACCGGCAGAAACCCAAUCAAGGUUUAGAGUUUCUAUUAUAUGUCAUCGCAACUCCUACCCAUAUUCUCUUAGAUGAGAAGUACAAAAAAAUGGAGGCAAGUAAAAACUCUAGUGCUUCCACGUCGACAUUGACAAUAUAUUCCUUGAAGGAAGAUGAUGAAGCUAUCUAUUACUGCUCCUACGGCUAA